UAGAGUCUGGGUGCUGAUAAUUACCCUCGCAGAAAUAAAACCUCCAAAGCACACAUUUAUUCCCUUAGUAAUGAAACAUUUGGAGAGAACCGGCCUGUCACAAACAGGGAUGUGGGGGGGGGGGAUUCCUCUCCCAAGGAACUGAGAGAGUUCUCUGAGGUCUCUGCUGUUAACGCUCCAUCGUUACUGCGGCAGCAGUCUCCCGUCUAGCACCCUCGGUUUGGUUACUGCUGGGUGAGGGCGCUGGCAGUUCAGCUGGACGGUUUGGGUACCAUCGGUCACCCUCUCUGGCCAAUCCAAUCGGAACAUCCAACAAAAGGUACGCUCCGGCAAGGUUCCUUCAAAACUCCAAAUAUCUCCUGUGCCGGAGUUGAGCCUAAAAAAGGUUGACAGGGUAAACGUGGUUUGGGUCCGAGCGUCACUACACCCUCCGUCCCAUCCCCACGGGGAAGCUUGAGGGGACUGGCUCUGCCUUUUGUGCUGUUUAUGGUUGCGAAUCACAUGGAGAUCGUGAUGGGGCAAAGUUUUUCGUAUACCCAUCAAAGAAUGGACAGGAAAGAGCUUUGUACAAGCCAAGCGUCUCACUCAGAACAAAACAGCGUGGAGGCAGGAGAUCAAGAGAUGCGUGAGAGAGGUAGCCAAUCGUCAUAUGUGUAACGCGGCUGCAAGCAAGCAAGCAAAAUAAAAGUGCAUCAUGGUGACCAAGAGAGAGAGCACUCACGGUAAAACGUCGGCGACUGUGGAUUUCUGCCAUCAGCCAGGCUGACACAAACGAUUUUGGCAAGCAUGCCAGAGUCUGUUCUCGCCAUUUUUUCAGUGGCAGAGGUGCUAGGGAUCGGGAAACAUCCAGCAUUGACUGGGUUCCAAUACUGUGUCUGGGUCAUGACAAGGUGAAGCAACCAAGCCAGGGAACUACAGAGCGAAACGACAGAGCAAAGAAGCAAAGAAAAGUCCAACAUGAGAUCAAAGAGGCAGCAAAGAACAGGCAGGAAUCCUUUUAAGCAUGCAGCCAACCACCACAAACAGUACAGCAUGGUAACCAGUCACCUUUACUGCAUAGUUCAACAAGCCAAGCUGAUGAUCCCCACCACGAUACUGGGAACACAAGACCCUACUUUCAAGAUGUGAUGUCACAAGCUGAUUUAACUGGACAAGACAUAAACCGUAUUGUGCACCACACUUUGUACCAAGAUGAACAAAUUUCUCGACUACAUGACCAGGUUGAGCUAUACAAACUCUGUGAGUCCAGUUUAGAAGGGAAUGAUGAAAAAGGGAGAUACUAUACUGGGCUACCUACGUAAACUAUUUUGAUGGCUCUUUUUAAUCUUCUAUCCCCACAUAUAGUUGUAACCACUGAUCUCUAUAUAAAGACUGGAUAGUGGAUAAAGAGCUGCACAAUGAAUUAAUUUGACGCCAUAUUGGUGAGACCGGCUGGUGAUCUACAAAGGACAAGUUGCCGCCUUUAUAGACAACAUGAUUAUUUUUGUAACAUCGUGGUUCACUUGACUUAUAUUUUGACCACCACCACUGACCACAGUUCUAACGUCGUGGUUUACUUUUUUUUUAAUGCCGCGGUUUACUUUUUCGGCGUUUUGGAAAUAAUAACCACUUAUUAAAAAUGUGUCCUUUUUAGAACAUCAUAAUGCGUGUACGUGACCAAAAUGCAUGUACGUGACCAAAAUGCGCGUCAUCUCUUGAUACAGCGCACGCUGUAUAUACGCAUAGAACGUUCGUAUUAUACGUGGCCAUCUUCGUGAGACCAGGGGCGAAUUGGUCAAUAUACAAAGUCUACUUUGUGACUGGUGUAUGGAUAUCCGCUAUCCAGUCUUUAUAUAGAGAUCAGUGGUUGUAACCCACCGUUAGGCUAUGUUUAAAUUUCAAUAAAUGAUGAUUGUGCUUAUGAGGCUCAGUUGCUCAGUCAACAAUUUUAAGUAUUUCUAAAUUGGCCCUAGAGAGGUUGAGAGGAACCAGACAAUGAUUUUGGGUAUGCUUCGGUCCUUCCACGCCCAGCGUUUAAUGCACAAUAGCCACCUGACAUAGUAACCAUACAACAUUCAUUGUUAAAGUUCCAAUGUGAAUUGGGGCCCCAUUAAGAUCAAAUAAAGUUAUUCUAAAGUUAUUUCCAACAGAUGUGCAUUUGCAUCAUACACAGUGUUAUACUAAUUAAGCAUAAACACGGCAGUAAACAAGAGUUGUUUAUACGUGUUUAUACAACGGGCAAGAAAUGCCAUAACAAUGUCUAACAAGUUAACAGUAAUUUGCAAGAACAUGUGUGUCAAUAAUCAGCUAUGACUUUAAUAAAUGCCAAUCAGAAUUUUGUAACACCGA
rnacentral:lncRNA from 1 species